AACACGUGAGUUACAUGCCCUGCAGUGGGGAAUAGCCCGCCGAAAGGCGGAUUAAUACCCCAUGGUCCCGCAAGGGUAAAGGUGGCGCAAGCUGCCGCUGCAGGAUUGGCUCGCGGCCUAUCAGCUUGUUGGUGAGGUAACGGCUCACCAAGGCAACGACGGGUACCUGGUCUGAGAGGAUGAUCAGGCACACUGGAACUGAGACACGGUCCAGACACCUACGGGUGGCAGCAGUCGAGAAUAAUUCACAAUGGGGGAAACCCUGAUGGUGCAACGCCGCGUGGAGGAUGAAGGUCUUCGGAUUGUAAACUCCUGUCAUUGGGGAGUAAGACCUGGCGGUGAAUAGCCGACAGGGUUGAUAGUACCCAAAGAGGAAGGGACGGCUAACUUCGUGCCAGCAGCCGCGGUAAUACGAAGGUCCCAAGCGUUGUUCGGAAUCACUGGGCGUAAAGGGAGCGUAGGCGGCGUGGUAAGUCAGAUGUGAAAUCCCGGGGCUCAACCCCGGAACUGCAUCCGAUACUGCCAUGCUUGAGGGUUGGAGAGGUAGCUGGAAUUCUCGGUGUAGCAGUGAAAUGCGUGGAUAUCGAGAGG
rnacentral:rRNA from 1 species